rnacentral:tRNA from 1 species
GCCGCCGUGGCUCAGCCCGGCAGAGCGACUGGCUGUUAACCAGUUGGUCAUAGGUUCGAAUCCUAUCGGCGGCGCCA